rnacentral:sRNA from 1 species
AUGUGCGUUGACUAUCGCAGGCUAAACGCAAUUAGUAAAAUUUAUUCAUUUCCGUUACCAUUGAUUGAUGACUUGCUUGCUUCGGUAGGUAAAGCCAAAGUAAUGACUUCGCUAGAUUUAAAGUCAGGUUAUUAUCAGGUCAAGGUCAAGGAGUCAGAUAAGGAAAAGACUGCUUUUGUAUGUCACAAAGGAUUAUUUGAGUUCAAUGUAUUACCAUUUGGUCUCGCCUCAGGGCCCAGUUUAUUUAGUGAACUAGUUACAGAAGUAUUACAAGGGUUAGAGCAUUUUUCAACUGCUUAUAUAGAUGAUAUUUUGAUAUUUUCCGAAACAGAGGAAGAACAUUUAGGCCACAUUCAACAAGUUUUUGAUAGAUUACGACAGCACAAACUUAAAUUAAAAUUGAAAAAAUGUAAUUUUUUGCAAAAUGAAACCAACUAUUUAGGCUUUAUAAUAAGUAAAGAUGGAUUAAAACCAGACCCUGAAAAGGUCAAGGCCAUUCAAGGCAUGAAAGCUCCCUCGAAUGUAAGGGAAGUAAGAGGAUUAAUAGGUUGCUUGAGCUAUUAUCGCAGAUUUGUACCUUCAUUUUCAAAAAUUGCAGAGCCUAUAGUGGCUUUAACUAGGAAAAACAAGGUUUUUAAUUGGACCACAACUUGUCAGGUAGCUUUUGAAAAGUUAAGGGAUGAACUAGUGAAAGUACCAUUAUUGGCAUACCCAGAUUUGAAUAAACCCUAUGUGCUGUACACGGACGCUAGCGAUAGUUGUGUAGGGGCUUGUUUAACGCAAUUACAAGAAAAUCCAAUCAAGGGUGAAAAGGAAGUGGAAAGACCGAUUUAUUUCCUAUCUCAUAAAUUGAGUGAUACGCAAACACGUUGGUCAACCAUUGAAAAAGAAGCAUUUGCUAUUCAUUAUGCGUUACAAAAAUUGAAUCAUUAUUUGUAUAAUGCUGAAUUUGUGAUAAAGACAGAUCACAAACCUUUGAAAUACAUUUUAGAAUCCCCCAUGCAAAAUAAGAAAAUUCAACUGUGGGCUUUGAACAUAACGGGUUAUAACUGUAAGAUUCAGUAUAUUCCAGGGCCCCAAAACGUGUGUGCAGAUUUCAUGUCUAGAUUACCUUCAGAUGAAAAACCAAACGAAAAUCCAGAUCCUUAUCCGGAUAUUAGUGACAAUACUUACGAAAUUAAUGUGAUUAAUUCAAAUAGAUUUCAUUUUACUGAUUAUGCAAAUAAUGACAAAUUAGUUGAAGAUAUUCCAGAAAAAGAAAAUUUUCAGUUUAAAGAAUUUGAUAUGUCAAUUGAACAAAUGAAAGACAAAACAUUACGCGAGUUAAAGGAACAACUUGUAGGCGAUAAGGUACCCGAGGCAGUGCAAAACAAGUACAUCAUAAUAGAUGACAUACUUUAUUACAUCUCAAAUGUAGAUAAUGAUCCUAUUAUAAGGUUGUACAUACCUUCUCAUAUAAAACAAGCAGUUGUAGAACAGUAUCAUGAUAAGAAUGGGCACAUGGGCAUUGACAAAACAUUUGAUUCGAUUCGUCAAAAAUAUUUUUGGCCAAACAUGUUUAAGGAGUUGUAUAAUUAUGUCACCACUUGUGUACCUUGUCAAUCACGCAACUUACAAAAAGUUAGAGCGCCAAUUCAGGAAACAAAAAUUCCGCCUUAUCCUUUUUGUCAUGUAGGGGUAGAUUUGAGUGGACCAUAUCCAACUACCAUGUCAGGUAACAGGUACAUUAUAGGAUUUAUCGAUUUGUACUCGGGGUGGCCAGAAGCUUUUAGUGUCGCAACAAAAAGCACUGACAAUGUUGCACAUCUUUUGAUUGAAGAAAUUACUUCAAGGCAUUCUGGGAUACAAAUUCUAACAAGUGAUAACGGAGGGGAAAACUGUUCUAAGGCUAUGGAAGAAGUUUUGUAAAGAACUUAAUAUAAAGCAUAUUAAAACUUCAUUCUAUCACCCUCAGGGUAAUGCAAAAAUAGAAAGAUUUCAUAGAACAUUACAUGAUGUUUUGUCAAAAUUAAUAGAAGAUCAUUCCACAACUUGGGACUUAUACUUGAACCAAGCUUUAGCAGCAAUUAGAUUCAAUAUCAAUGAGUCCACCCAACUUUCACCUUUUUAUGCAUUAUAUAACAGGGAUCCAGUUUUACCUUUAGAUAACAUUUUACAGCCUAGGAGAAAAUACAAUGGGGAGGAAUAUCAUAAAAUUGCCUUACAACAACAACAUAAAUCAUUUAUGCUGGUUCAUAAAACUAUGAAAAAAUCUAAGCAGAAACAAGCUAAGUACGCAAACAAAAAUAGCAAAGAUAUAAAGUUUGAGGUAGGAAACCCAGUUUUUUAUAAAAAUCAUAGAAGGGCAAGCAAACUUUCAAAAAAAUGGACUCCGUACUAUAGGAUUAUAGAACAAACUUCACCUGUUAGUUUUAUUUUAAAAAAUCAGUUAGAUGGGACAACCACAAAAGCUCAUGCAGAACAAAUUCGUUUGGCUAAGUUAGAUUGGGAAAUUCCUAACAACAAUCAAGGUAGGGCAUUACGUAAAGCUGCGUAUGUAGUUCCCAUUGAGUCACAAUCAGAAGAUUCCUCUGAUGAUGAAAGCAUAGAUUCAGACACUCCGUUAAAUCAAAUUGCAAAAAGAUAUAAGAAAGAAAGGGAAAAUUCUGAUUAUGAAGAUGAUAUACCAUUAAUGGAAUUAUCUAAAAAAUUAAGGGGGAAGAAAAUUUUCUCAGAACAAGAUAAUGUCAAUAAUGGUCAAUUAGAAAGUGAUGAUCAAGUCAUGAAAGAAAAAGUAGGAAAUUCGCCGUCUGAUUAUGACGUCUCUGACAUUGAUGAUAACAUGUCUAGCACUCAUUCUUCGUCAGUAACAUCUGAAAAUUAUGACAUGGAAGAUAACAUGUCUGUGAAUAGUGUUAAAAUAGAAAAUAAUCAGAAAUCUACUGAGAUUGGGGCUAACGAAACAAAAUUAGUAUCUAAGGAACAUGUACAAAAUUUAGUGAGGGCUUUAAUAGGUAUUAUGUAG